AUCAAACUCCGAAUACCCGCGACAACAGACUGGCACUCAGGCGCUGAGAGCUAAGUUUCAGCGCCGAGAGGGUAAGAACCCAGACCGGCAGCUAAGGUCCCCAAUUCAUCACUAAGUGGUAAAGGAUGUGGGAGCACUUAAACAGCCAGGAGGUUGGCUUAGAAGCAGCCAUCCUUUAAAGAAAGCGUAACAGCUCACUGGUCGAGUGAACCUGCGCCGAAAAUUCAACGGGUCUAAGUGAUGAACCGAAGCUCCGGGUCAGCGAAAGCUGGCGGUAGGCGAGUAUUGUCUAUGCGGUGAAGGCAUACGGAAACGAGUGUUGGAGCGUAGACAAGAGCUGAUGUUGGCAUGAGUAGCGAUAAACAGGGUGAAAAACCUGUCGCCGUAAACCCAAGGGUUCCUGGGUAAAGAUAAUCUUCUCUAGGGUUAGUCGGUCCCUAAGGCGAGGCAGAAAUGCGUAGUCGA
rnacentral:rRNA from 1 species